UGUAGCUCAGUUGGUAGAGCAGGUGACUGUUAAUCACUUGGUCGCAAGUUCGAGUCUUGCCG
rnacentral:tRNA from 1 species